rnacentral:rRNA from 1 species
AAAUGACGGGGGGCGUGCUAUACAUGCAAGUCGAACGCACAGCGAAAGGUGCUUGCACCUUUCAAGUGAGUGGCGAACGGGUGAGUAACACGUGGACAACCUGCCUCAAGGCUGGGGAUAACAUUUGGAAACAGAUGCUAAUACCGAAUGAAACUUAGUGUCGCAUGAUACGAAGUUAAAAGGCGCUUUGGCGUCACCUAGAGAUGGAUCCGCGGUGCAUUAGUUAGUUGGUGGGGUAAAGGCCUACCAAGACAAUGAUGCAUAGCCGAGUUGAGAGACUGAUCGGCCACAUUGGGACUGAGACACGGCCCAAACUCCUACGGGAGGCUGCAGUAGGGAAUCUUCCACAAUGGGCGAAAGCCUGAUGGAGCAACGCCGCGUGUGUGAUGAAGGCUUUCGGGUCGUAAAGCACUGUUGUAUGGGAAGAACAGCUAGAAUAGGGAAUGAUUUUAGUUUGACGGUACCAUACCAGAAAGGGACGGCUAAAUACGUGCCAGCAGCCGCGGUAAUACGUAUGUCCCGAGCGUUAUCCGGAUUUAUUGGGCGUAAAGCGAGCGCAGACGGUUGAUUAAGUCUGAUGUGAAAGCCCGGAGCUCAACUCCGGAAUGGCAUUGGAAACUGGUUAACUUGAGUGCAGUAGAGGUAAGUGGAACUCCAUGUGUAGCGGUGGAAUGCGUAGAUAUAUGGAAGAACACCAGUGGCGAAGGCGGCUUACUGGACUGUAACUGACGUUGAGGCUCGAAAGUGUGGGUAGCAAACAGGAUUAGAUACCCUGGUAGUCCACACCGUAAACGAUGAACACUAGGUGUUAGGAGGUUUCCGCCUCUUAGUGCCGAAGCUAACGCAUUAAGUGUUCCGCCUGGGGAGUACGACCGCAAGGUUGAAACUCAAAGGAAUUGACGGGGACCCGCACAAGCGGUGGAGCAUGUGGUUUAAUUCGAAGCAACGCGAAGAACCUUACCAGGUCUUGACAUCCUUUGAAGCUUUUAGAGAUAGAAGUGUUCUCUUC